GCAUUAAUGGGGUAGUGGUAACCUGGGUCGUUGCCAUCUCCUUGGGAUAAUAUAGCUCGACCCGCCGGGGGUUCGAUUCCCUCUUAAUGCA